rnacentral:rRNA from 1 species
CUGGCGGCAUGCUUUACACAUGCAAGUCGAACGGCAGCACAGGGAGCUUGCUCCCGGGUGGCGAGUGGCGCACGGGUGAGUAAUACAUCGGAACGUGUCCUGUUGUGGGGGGAUAACUGCUCGAAAGGGUGGCUAAUACCGCAUGAGACCUGAGGGUGAAAGCGGGGGAUCGCAAGACCUCGCGCAAUUGGAGCGGCCGAUGCCCGAUUAGCUAGUUGGUGAGGUAAAGGCUCACCAAGGCGACGAUCGGUAGCUGGUCUGAGAGGACGACCAGCCACACUGGGACUGAGACACGGCCCAGACUCCUACGGGAGGCAGCAGUGGGAAUUUUGGACAAUGGGGGCAACCCUGAUCCAGCCAUGCCGCGUGCAGGAUGAAGGCCUUCGGGUUGUAAACUGCUUUUGUCAGGGACGAAAAGGACCGUGUUAAUACCAUGGUCUGCUGACGGUACCUGAAGAAUAAGCACCGGCUAACUACGUG